rnacentral:rRNA from 1 species
GUGAGGAAUAUUGCGCAAUGGGGGAAACCCUGACGCAGCAACGCCGCGUGGGUGAAGAAGGCCUUCGGGUCGUAAAGCCCUUUCGGACGGGACGAACGCUCCGCGGUGACAACCCGCGGAGUCUGACGGUACCGUAAGAAGAAGCACCGGCUAACUCCGUGCCAGCAGCCGCGGUAAUACGGAGGGUGCAAGCGUUGUUCGGAAUUACUGGGCGUAAAGCGCGUGUAGGCGGCCUUGCAAGCCAGACGUGAAAGCCCUCGGCUUAACCGGGGAAGUGCGUCUGGAACUGCUCGGCUCGAGUACGGGAGAGGGAGGCGGAAUUCCCAGUGUAGAGGUGAAAUUCGUAGAUAUUGGGAGGAACACCGGUGGCGAAAGCGGCCUCCUGGACCGAUACUGACGCUGAGACGCGAAAGCGUGGGGAGCAAACAGGAUUAGAAACCCCAGUAGUCC